rnacentral:misc_RNA from 1 species
UCAAACUUGGUCAUUUAGAGGAAGUAAAAGUCGUAACAAGGUUUCCGUAGGUGAACCUGCGGAAGGAUCAUUAAAGAACUAUGUGUCGGCAUAAAAAAGUCGAACCUAUUCUUUUGUGAAAAUACUGAUAUAAUUUUGUAUUUGGGGAUUAAAAAGGUUUUAGCUUUUGCUAGAACGGCCCCAAAUCAAACUUUAAUAACCACUUAUUCUUAUUGACUGACUGUUAUUUCAAUAUAAUAAUUGAUAAAAUAACUUUCAACAACGGAUCUCUUGGUUCUCGCAUCGAUGAAGAACGCAGC